UACGGAAGGCAGCAGUGGGGAAUAUUGCACAAUGGGCGCAAGCCUGAUGCAGCCAUGCCGCGUGUAUGAAAAAGGCCUUCGGGUUGUAAAGUACUUUCAGUCGUGAGGAAGGUGUUAAGGUUAAUAACCUUAGCAAUUGACGUUAGCGACAGAAGAGGCACCGGCUAACUCCGUGCCAGCAGCCGCGGUAAUACGGAGGGUGCGAGCGUUAAUCGGAAUUACUGGGCGUAAAGGGCACGCAGGCGGUUAAUUAAGUUGGAUGUGAAAUCCCCGGGCUUAACCUGGGAAUGGCAUUCAAGACUGGUUAGCUAGAGUCUUGUAGAGGGGGUAGAAUUCCAUGUGUAGCGGUGAAAUGCGUAGAGAUGUGGAGGAAUACCGGUGGCGAAGGCGGCCCCUGGACAAAGACUGACGCUCAUGUGCGAAAGCGUGGGGAGCGAAACAGGGAUUAGAUACC
rnacentral:rRNA from 1 species